rnacentral:lncRNA from 1 species
UAGCUUCUUUAAACAAUCUCGCACAAAACAUUCAGUGGAUUCACAUCUGAAGAAAGAAAGAACUGAUCUUGGAGGUCUUUAGACUUUUUAGGUGGAAGCAUCCAAGAUGAUCUGGCUGCACUGCAUUUCAGUGAAUUUCUAUCUUGAACCUGUUUUUCUUUUUCUCAAUACAUUCGCUCUCCCUUUUUCCUUUACAGUCAUCUCUCUCAUGCUCAACCAGAUUAUCAAUUAGAAAUUGUUGAUCAUAUAUCGUAAUAAUAUUCUGAUGAUGGGCGAGUGUUGAAAAAGACAAGAUCGAGGGUAGAGGUUGUCGAGCGUCAGGAUUAACUCUUAAAUACUUUGAAA